AUUUUUGAAGUUUAUCUAAUUAACUUUGUAUGUUCAAAGGCAUUUUUAUUUGUGUGUUUUUUUUUAAAAUAUAAUACAUAACCUUUGUAUUUACUUUUAACAUUACAAGGAAACAAAUGGUUUUGAUAUUAAUGCUUUGAAAUGAUCAUUUGAUCACAAAGAGUGCUGUUGUAUUUCAUUCAUAUUCUUUCCCUGCCAUUAUGAGUAUGUUUCUGUCUCUUUAUACACCAAAAAAUCAAUAUUGUCAUUCCAUGAGAAUAAUUUCUCAAAUCGUAUGUUACAAGAUUUGUAUGUUUGUAUGCACUCAUUCCUUAACAAUGUGUGUUGAUUGUGUCUGAUCCAUAGAGACUAUUCCUGUGUGACUGAUUUAUUAAUAAAAUAUUUUAUUCCAAAAUGCUGUGAAUAAGAAUCUUUGCUAUUAAAUAAUUGAUACAUAC
rnacentral:misc_RNA from 1 species